rnacentral:rRNA from 1 species
GACGAACGCUGGCGGCGUGCUUAACACAUGCAAGUCGAACGGAAAGGCCCCUUUGGGGGUACUCGAGUGGCGAACGGGGGAGUAACACGUGAGUAACCUUCCCCUGACUUCGGGACAACGUCAGGAAACGGGGGCUAAUACCGGAAAGGAAUCCUUUCUGCAUGGGGGGGGUUGGAAAGCUACGGCGGGUUUUGAUGGACUCGCUGCUUAUCGGCUGGUUGGUGGAGUAGUGGCUUACCGAGGCGGUUACGGGUAGCCGGCCUGUGAGGGCGACCGGCCACAUUGGGACUGAGAUGCGGCCCAGACUCCUACGGGAGGCAGAAGUGCGGAAGAUUGCACGAUGAGCGGCAGCCUGGUGAAGAAGGGCCGCGUGCGGGAUAACGGCCUUCUGGUUGUAAACCGAUUUCAGCAGGAGCGAAGCUUGUGGUGACGGUACCUGCAGAGGAAGCACCGGCUAACUACGUG